AGCUCCAAGAGCGUAUAUUAAAGUUGUUGCAGUUAAAAAGCUCGUAGUUGGAUUUCUGGUACAACGCGCCUGGCCCGCUUUUAGUGAGUGCCGGUGCGCGUUUGCCAUCCUUCUAGAAAACGUUUCUACCUGGGCAACCGGGCCGGACUCGCGAUCUAGAUCUUUUACUUUGAAAAAAUUAGAGUGUUUAAAGCAGGCUUUUGCUGUGAAUACAUUAGCAUGGAAUAAUAAUCUAGGACUUCGGUUCUAUUUUGUUGGUUUCUAGUACUGAAGUAAUGAUUGAUAGGGAUAGUUGGGGGUGCUAGUAUUGGCCGGCCAGAGGUGAAAUUCUUGGAUUCGGUCAAGACUAACUUAUGCGAAAGCAUUCACCAAGGAUGUCUUCUUUA
rnacentral:rRNA from 2 species